CCAAAGCACCUUUUUGCGGUGGACAUGUUUACCUAACACGUUUCUGUCUGCUGCGCCUGCCCCUUUUUCAAACAAAGAAGUGUGGUUAGGCUUUCAACACAUCGCAACCUGUCAUAGUAUGAUUUUGAAUCUGAAUAUCAAUA
rnacentral:misc_RNA from 1 species